rnacentral:rRNA from 1 species
AUUGAACGCUGGCGGCAGGCCUAACACAUGCAAGUCGAGCGGAUGAAGGGAGCUUGCUCCUGGAUUCAGCGGCGGACGGGUGAGUAAUGCCUAGGAAUCUGCCUGGUAGUGGGGGAUAACGUCCGGAAACGGGCGCUAAUACCGCAUACGUCCUGAGGGAGAAAGUGGGGGAUCUUCGGACCUCACGCUAUCAGAUGAGCCUAGGUCGGAUUAGCUAGUUGGUGGGGUAAAGGCCUACCAAGGCGACGAUCCGUAACUGGUCUGAGAGGAUGAUCAGUCACACUGGAACUGAGACACGGUCCAGACUCCUACGGGAGGCAGCAGUGGGGAAUAUUAGACAAUGGGCGAAAGCCUGAUCCAGCCAUGCCGCGUGUGUGAAGAAGGUCUUCGGAUUGUAAAGCACUUUAAGUUGGGAGGAAGGAAAGUGUGUUAAUACCUGGCUGUAUUGACGUUACCAACAGAAUAAGCACCGGCUAACUUCGUG